rnacentral:lncRNA from 1 species
CUUCCUUCCUUCCUUUCUUCCUUCCCUUCAGAUAUAUCUAUGAAAUAGCCAGACAGAACCCAUUCAUCUUUGCCCUCACACUCUUGUCUCUGGCUGCUCACUACAAAGAAGUCAGCGCUAGUUGUUGUCAAGAAGAAAACAAACAUGAAUGCUUCCACACAAAGGCAACAAUUAUUGCAAAUGAUUGAAAAGAAAUCUCUGCCAAGCAGCAAAACCUCUGUGGGGUAUUGAGGCAAUUUAGACCCAAAGGAGUGAAACUUCAGAAAGUUGUGGAAAUCAGCCAAAAAUUCCCCAAGAUUGACUUUAAAGAACUUGACAUACUCUUGAAAGGUAUUCCGACCAUGAUCGAUGGGUGCUGCCAAGGGGAUGUAGUUCACUGUUUCCAUAGUGAGGAAGAAGAAUUCCUAAGGGUACCAGCAGAAACCCAGGCCAUUGCAAAACUGGAGUGUGGCUAUUUCCAGACACUAGGCAAAGAAGGCUUCCUUAAUCAGUAUGCCUAAUUCUUAGAGAGCUUUGGGGAAUAAAUAAAAAUCGAACCAUAAACCCA